GGCAGUAUGCUUGGUAAAAGUCAUCGCCAUUCUCUAAUCUUGAGUACCCAGGGACACGAUACACUGCGGAAGGCUGCAGGGACCUCUGCCCAGGAAAGCCAGGAGCCAGAAAAACUUCAUCUCUUUUACAAGAAACAUUGAGAUUCCUGUAAAAUUAAGAAAUCACACAAUUUGAUGGUCUACAUUAUCUAAAGCAAAUGAGACUUCUAUUUGGAACAAAGACUACCUUGUUGGGAAAUGAGUCUGCAAGUUAAAGUGUUUUCUGUUUUCUAAGGAUAAUGGUCUCCAGCUUCGUCAAUGUUCCUGCAAAGGACAUGAUGCUGACUUUGAAGAUGCAAGCUUCCACAUCUACAGCCUCAAGGAAACAAAUUCAGCCAACCAACUGAGGGAGCUUUCCUUGUCCUGCCUCAAGAUGAGAUCACAGUCUGCCCAACACCAUGAUUUAGGCCUUGUGACACCUGGUAUGGAAGACCCAAUGAUGCAUAUCAUAAAUUAUUACUCACCCCAUGUUCCCACCCUCGAGAGACCUCCAAACAAUCACCAUGCCACAGUGAACAUUCAGUAACAAAAA
rnacentral:lncRNA from 1 species